rnacentral:rRNA from 1 species
CGCCCGUCAAGCCAUGAAAGCUGGGGGUGCCUGAAGUCCGUAACCGUUAAGGAGCGGCCUAGGGCAAAACUGGUGAUUGGGGCUAAGUCGUAACAAGGUAGCCGUACCGGAAGGUGCGGCUGGAACACCUCCUUUCUGGAG